GGGGCUGAUUCUGGAUUCGACGGGAUUUGCGAAACCCAAGGUGCAUGCCGAGGGGCGGUUGGCCUCGUAAAAAGCCGCAAAAAAUAGUCGCAAACGACGAAAACUACGCUUUAGCAGCUUAAUAACCUGCUUAGAGCCCUCUCUCCCUAGCCUCCGCUCUUAGGACGGGGAUCAAGAGAGGUCAAACCCAAAAGAGAUCGCGUGGAGGCCCUGCCUGGGGUUGAAGCGUUAAAACUUAAUCAGGCUAGUUUGUUAGUGGCGUGUCCGUCCGCAGCUGGCAAGCGAAUGUAAAGACUGACUAAGCAUGUAGUACCGAGGAUGUAGGAAUUUCGGACGCGGGUUCAACUCCCGCCAGCUCCACCA
rnacentral:tmRNA from 1 species